rnacentral:rRNA from 1 species
GAUUAAGUUAUUAAGGGCGCACGGUGGAUGCCUUGGCACUAGAAGCCGAUGAAGGACGUUACUAACGACGAUAUGCUUUGGGGAGCUGUAAGUAAGCUUUGAUCCAGAGAUUUCCGAAUGGGGAAACCCAGCAUGAGUUAUGUCAUGUUAUCGAUAUGUGAAUACAUAGCAUAUCAGAAGGCACACCCGGAGAACUGAAACAUCUUAGUACCCGGAGGAAGAGAAAGAAAAUUCGAUUCCCUUAGUAGCGGCGAGCGAAACGGGAAGAGCCCAAACCAACAAGCUUGCUUGUUGGGGUUGUAGGACACUCUAUACGGAGUUACAAAGGACGACAUUAGACGAAUCAUCUGGAAAGAUGAAUCAAAGAAGGUAAUAAUCCUGUAGUCGAAAAUGUUGUCUCUCUUGAGUGGAUCCUGAGUACGACGGAGCACGUGAAAUUCCGUCGGAAUCUGGGAGGACCAUCUCCUAAGGCUAAAUACUCUCUAGUGACCGAUAGUGAACCAGUACCGUGAGGGAAAGGUGAAAAGCACCCCGGAAGGGGAGUGAAAUAGAACCUGAAACCGUGUGCUUACAAGUAGUCAGAGCCCGUUAAUGGGUGAUGGCGUGCCUUUUGUAGAAUGAACCGGCGAGUUACGAUUUGAUGCAAGGUUAAGCAGUAAAUGUGGAGCCGUAGCGAAAGCGAGUCUGAAUAGGGCGUUUAGUAUUUGGUCGUAGACCCGAAACCAGGUGAUCUACCCUUGGUCAGGUUGAAGUUCAGGUAACACUGAAUGGAGGACCGAACCGACUUACGUUGAAAAGUGAGCGGAUGAACUGAGGGUAGCGGAGAAAUUCCAAUCGAACCUGGAGAUAGCUGGUUCUCUCCGAAAUAGCUUUAGGGCUAGCCUCAAGUGAUGAUUAUUGGAGGUAGAGCACUGUUUGGACGAGGGGCCCCUCUCGGGUUACCGAAUUCAGACAAACUCCGAAUGCCAAUUAAUUUAACUUGGGAGUCAGAACAUGGGUGAUAAGGUCCGUGUUCGAAAGGGAAACAGCCCAGACCACCAGCUAAGGUCCCAAAAUAUAUGUUAAGUGGAAAAGGAUGUGGCGUUGCCCAGACAACUAGGAUGUUGGCUUAGAAGCAGCCAUCAUUUAAAGAGUGCGUAAUAGCUCACUAGUCGAGUGACACUGCGCCGAAAAUGUACCGGGGCUAAACAUAUUACCGAAGCUGUGGAUUGUCCUUUGGACAAUGGUAGGAGAGCGUUCUAAGGGCGUUGAAGCAUGAUCGUAAGGACAUGUGGAGCGCUUAGAAGUGAGAAUGCCGGUGUGAGUAGCGAAAGACGGGUGAGAAUCCCGUCCACCGAUUGACUAAGGUUUCCAGAGGAAGGCUCGUCCGCUCUGGGUUAGUCGGGUCCUAAGCUGAGGCCGACAGGCGUAGGCGAUGGAUAACAGGUUGAUAUUCCUGUACCACCUAUAAUCGUUUUAAUCGAUGGGGGGACGCAGUAGGAUAGGCGAAGCGUGCGAUUGGAUUGCACGUCUAAGCAGUAAGGCUGAGUAUUAGGCAAAUCCGGUACUCGUUAAGGCUGAGCUGUGAUGGGGAGAAGACAUUGUGUCUUCGAGUCGUUGAUUUCACACUGCCGAGAAAAGCCUCUAGAUAGAAAAUAGGUGCCCGUACC